GACGAACGCUGGCGGCGUGCUUAACACAUGCAAGUCGAACGGUGAAGCGCCUUCCUUUUUGGUGGGUGUGGAUGAGUGGCGAACGGGUGAGUAACACGUGAGUAACCUGCCCCCUUCUUCUGGAUAACCGCAUGAAAGUGUGGCUAAUACGGGAUAUUCUGGGUCUGUCGCAUGAUGGGUCUGGGAAAGAUAUUGUUUCGGUGGGGGAUGGGCUCGCGGCCUAUCAGCUUGUUGGUGGGGUGAUGGCCUACCAAGGCGGUGACGGGUAGCCGGCCUGAGAGGGUCGGAGGCCCGCCCGGGACUCCGACGGGGGCCAGACGUGGAGGUUAGGCAGCGGGGGGGGAAAGCGUGCUGCGGGCCCGCGGGGGGGGGGGUGGCGCCGUGGGUUUGGUGACCCUCUUCGGGGGGUGAACCGGCCUCGCCUGUUUUGGGGUGGGGUUGACGGUAGCUGGUAAAGAAGCCCCGGCUAACUACGUG
rnacentral:rRNA from 1 species